rnacentral:rRNA from 1 species
CUGUUGUAUAAUGGGUCAGCGACUUAUAUUCUGUAGCAAGGUUAACCGAAUAGGGGAGCCGGAGGGAAACCGAGUCUUAAUUGGGCGUUAAGUUGCAGGGUAUAGACCCGAAACCCGGUGAUCUAGCCAUGGGCAGGUUGAAGGUUGGGUAACACUAACUGGAGGACCGAACCGACUAAUGUUGAAAAAUUAGCGGAUGACCUGUGGCUGGGGGUGAAAGGCCAAUCAAACCGGGAGAUAGCUGGUUCUCCCCGAAAGCUAUUUAGGUAGCGCCUCGUGAAUUCAUCUCCGGGGGUAGAGCACUGUUUCGGCUAGGGGGCCAUCCCGGCUUACCAACCCGAUGCAAACUGCGAAUACCGGAGAAUGUUAUCACGGGAGACACACGGCGGGUGCUAACGUCCGUCGUGAAGAGGGAAACAACCCAGACCGCCAGCUAAGGUCCCAAAGUCAUGGUUAAGUGGGAAACGAUGUGGGAAGGCCCAGACAGCCAGGAUGUUGGCUUAGAAGCAGCCAUCAUUUAAAGAAAGCGUAAUAGCUCACUGGUCGAGUCGGCCUGCGCGGAAGAUGUAACGGGGCUAAACCAUGCACCGAAGCUGCGGCAGCGACACUGUGUGUUGUUGGGUAGGGGAGCGUUCUGUAAGCCUGCGAAGGUGGCCUGUGAGGGUUGCUGGAGGUAUCAGAAGUGCGAAUGCUGACAUAAGUAACGAUAAAGCGGGUGAAAAGCCCGCUCGCCGGAAGACCAAGGGUUCCUGUCCAACGUUAAUCGGGGCAGGGUGAGUCGACCCCUAAGGCGAGGCCGAAAGGCGUAGUCGAUGGGAAACGGGUUAAUAUUCCCGUACUUGGUGUUACUGCGAAGGGGGGACGGAGAAGGCUAUGUUGGCCGGGCGACGGUUGUCCCGGUUUAAGCGUGUAGGUGUGUGUUCCAGGUAAAUCCGGUUCACUUUAACACUGAGGCGUGACGACGAGGCACUACGGUGCUGAAGCAACAAAUGCCCUGCUUCCAGGAAAAGCCUCUAAGCAUCAGGUAACAUCAAAUCGUACCCCAAACCGACACAGGUGGUCAGGUAGAGAAUACCAAGGCGCUUGAGAGAACUCGGGUGAAGGAACUAGGCAAAAUGGUGCCGUAACUUCGGGAGAAGGCACGCUGACACGUAGGUGAAGUGAUUUACUCAUGGAGCUGAAGUCAGUCGAAGAUACCAGCUGGCUGCAACUGUUUAUUAAAAACACAGCACUGUGCAAACACGAAAGUGGACGUAUACGGUGUGACGCCUGCCCGGUGCCGGAAGGUUAAUUGAUGGGGUCAGCGCAAGCGAAGCUCCUGAUCGAAGCCCCGGUAAACGGCGGCCGUAACUAUAACGGUCCUAAGGUAGCGAAAUUCCUUGUCGGGUAAGUUCCGACCUGCACGAAUGGCGUAAUGAUGGCCAGGCUGUCUCCACCCGAGACUCAGUGAAAUUGAACUCGCUGUGAAGAUGCAGUGUACCCGCGGCAAGACGGAAAGACCCCGUGAACCUUUACUAUAGCUUGACACUGAACAUUGAGCCUUGAUGUGUAGGAUAGGUGGGAGGCUUUGAAGUGUGGACGCCAGUCUGCAUGGAGCCGACCUUGAAAUACCACCCUUUAAUGUUUGAUGUUCUAACGUGGACCCGUUACCCGGGUUGCGGACAGUGUCUGGUGGGUAGUUUGACUGGGGCGGUCUCCUCCUAAAGAGUAACGGAGGAGCACGAAGGUUGGCUAAUCCUGGUCGGACAUCAGGAGGUUAGUGCAAUGGCAUAAGCCAGCUUGACUGCGAGCGUGACGGCGCGAGCAGGUGCGAAAGCAGGUCAUAGUGAUCCGGUGGUUCUGAAUGGAAGGGCCAUCGCUCAACGGAUAAAAGGUACUCCGGGGAUAACAGGCUGAUACCGCCCAAGAGUUCAUAUCGACGGCGGUGUUUGGCACCUCGAUGUCGGCUCAUCACAUCCUGGGGCUGAAGUAGGUCCCAAGGGUAUGGCUGUUCGCCAUUUAAAGUGGUACGCGAGCUGGGUUUAGAACGUCGUGAGACAGUUCGGUCCCUAUCUGCCGUGGGCGCUGGAGAACUGAGGGGGGCUGCUCCUAGUACGAGAGGACCGGAGUGGACGCAUCACUGGUGUUCGGGUUGUCAUGCCAAUGGCACUGCCCGGUAGCUAAAUGCGGAAGAGAUAAGUGCUGAAAGCAUCUAAGCACGAAACUUGCCCCGAGAUGAGUUCUCCCUGAGACUUAGAGUCUCCUGAAGGAACGUUGAAGACGACGACGUUGAUAGGCCGGGUGUGUAAGCGCAGCGAUGCGUUGAGCUAACCGGUACUAAUGAACCGUGAGGCUUAACCUUACAACGCCGAAG